UCUAGGAAGGGAUGGAGCUAGCCUGAAGAGGUCUGUUCUGCUGUAUUCCCCACACUAUUUCUAGUUAUAAAAGUCCCCAGCAUACCUGUGUAGGGUGAGACUCAAUUUGAGAUCUGUGCCAGGAAGCUGAAGAAUCUGUGCCAGCAGGCUAAAGGAUCUGCAAUGGAGCCAGAAAGCUACACUCAAAGUAAGGACUAGAGAUCCCCACAAAAGUACCACAGCUAUCCUCAGUGACAAUGAGUUCCUGAGCUACUCCAAUGACGAGAACAGCUAAGUUCAUAUCAGGAAGCAUGAUGAACUUUUCCAGGAGAUGAACAACACAGCAUCUUCCCCUCUGGAACCAGGAAGUGAUGCUCAAAGUUAGGACCAGAGCUCCCCUAAAGUGAGCCGCAGCCAUUCUCAGGAACAACCAGGUCCCAAGCCCCUCUGACAGUGAGAAUGGCCAAGUCGAUAUCAGGAAACAAGCUCAACAAACUCCUCCAGGAGAACCAAUAGCAACAAGAGAACCAACAACACUACUUCUUCCUCUCUAGUUCUCCUUUUUAUAUUGGCAACUAUCCUCAGGUGGGCCAUCCACACCCAGCACCAUGCUGACUCAUUUCAGCUGGUAUUACAAGUUGAAGACUAGUUGUCAAUCCACCACACUGGGAUUAUUUUCCUGUUUUUCCCCCACUUUUGCAUAACUGUUUAUUUUUUCCCAAUUUUAUUCAUUCUAUUAAACCUUUUGGCAUUAUUA